rnacentral:rRNA from 1 species
AACUAACAAGGAUUCCCCUAGUAACUGCGAGUGAAGCGGGAAAAGCUCAAAUUUAAAAUCUGGCAGUCUUUGGCUGUCCGAGUUGUAAUCUAGAGAAGUGAUAUCCGCGCUGGACCGUGUACAAGUCUCCUGGAAUGGAGCGUCAUAGAGGGUGAGAAUCCCGUCUUUGACACGGACUGCCAGGGCUUUGUGAUGCGCUCUCAAAGAGUCGAGUUGUUUGGGAAUGCAGCUCAAAAUGGGUGGUAAAUUCCAUCUAAAGCUAAAUAUUGGCGAGAGACCGAUAGCGAACAAGUACCGUGAGGGAAAGAUGAAAAGAACUUUGGAAAGAGAGUUAAACAGUACGUGAAAUUGCUGAAAGGGAAACGCUUGAAGUCAGUCGCGUUGACCAGGGAUCAACCCUUGCUUUUGCUUGGUGUACUUUCUGGUUGAUGGGUCAGCAUCAAUUUUGACCAUUGGAAAAAGAUCAGUGGAAUGUGGCAUCUUUGGAUGUGUUAUAGCCUCUGGUUGCAUACAAUGGUUGGGAUUGAGGAACUCAGCACGCCGCAAGGCCGGGUUUAAAAACCACGUACGUGCUUAGGAUGCUGGCAUAAUGGCUUUAAUCGACCCGUCUUGAAACACGGACCAAGGAGUCUAACAUGCCUGCAAGUGUUUGGGUGGAAAACCCGAGCGCGUAAUGAAAGUGAAAGUUGAGAUCCCUGUCGUGGGGAGCAUCGACGCCCGGACCAGACCUUUUGUGACGGUUCCGCGGUAGAGCAUGUAUGUUGGGACCCGAAAGAUGGUGAACUAUGCCUGAAUAGGGUGAAGCCAGAGGAAACUCUGGUGGAGGCUCGUAGCGAUUCUGACGUGCAAAUCGAUCGUCAAAUUUGGGUAUAGGGGCGAAAGACUAAUCGAACCAUCUAGUAGCUGGUUCCUGCCGA